rnacentral:rRNA from 1 species
AUGCCUUACACAUGCAAGUCGAACGGCAGCACGGGAGCAAUCCUGGUGGCGAGUGGCGAACGGGUGAGUAAUACAUCGGAACGUGUCCUGGAGUGGGGGAUAGCCCGGCGAAAGCCGGAUUAAUACCGCAUACGCUCUGAGGAGGAAAGGGGGGGAUCUUAGGACCUCUCGCUCAAGGGGCGGCCGAUGGCAGAUUAGCUAGUUGGUGGGGUAAAGGCCUACCAAGGCGACGAUCUGUAGCUGGUCUGAGAGGACGACCAGCCACACUGGGACUGAGACACGGCCCAGACUCCUACGGGAGGCAGCA